rnacentral:rRNA from 1 species
CUACGGGUGGCACCAGUGAGGAAUAUUGCACAAUGGGGGGAACCCUGAUGCAGCAACGCCGCGUGGAGGAUGACGCAUUUCGGUGUGUAAACUCCUUUUAUAUGUCAAGAAAAUGACGGUAGCAUAUGAAUAAGCACCGGCUAACUCCGUGCCAGCAGCCGCGGUAAUACGGAGGGUGCAAGCGUUACUCGGAAUCACUGGGCGUAAAGGACGCGUAGGCGGGUUGGAAAGUCAGGUGUGAAAUCCUACAGCUUAACUGUAGAACUGCACUUGAAACUUCUAAUCUAGAGUAUGGGAGGGAGAGAUGGAAUUAGUGGUGUAGGGGUAAAAUCCGUAGAUAUCACUAGGAAUACCUAAAGCGAAGGCGAUCUCCUGGAACAUUACUGACGCUAAGGCGUGAAAGCGUGGGGAGCAAACAGGAUUAGAUACCCUUGUAGUC